rnacentral:rRNA from 1 species
UACGUAGGGUGCAAGCGUUAAUCGGAAUUACUGGGCGUAAAGCGUGCGCAGGCGGUUAUAUAAGACAGUUUGUGAAAUCCCCCGGGCUCAACCUGGGAAUUGCAUUUGUGACUGCACGGCUAGAGUGUGUCAGAGGGGGGGGUAGAAUUCCACGUGUAGCAGUGAAAAUGCGUAGAGAUGUGGAGGAAUACCGAUGGCGAAGGCAGCCCCCUGGGAUAACACUGACGCUCAUGCACGAAAGCGUGGGGAGCAAACAGG